GAGCCGAGCUAUGAUUGACGUUGUUUGACGACGAGAGAGAGCACGCUUGUCGGCACCCAUGAAAGGGCCAUGGAUGUUUACGGGCGUGCUCUCUCUUGUUGUCAUACAGUCUAUCUGCUGGUUCGGAUC
rnacentral:pre_miRNA from 1 species